GUUUUAAUAAUUUAAAUAAAAUAUCGGUUUUGUAAACCGAAAAUAAGUAUUCUUUUAAAACU
rnacentral:tRNA from 1 species